CGCUUAUUAAAAUAAAAAAAAAUAAAAAUAAAAUAGCAAGCGAGGCUCUAGUUCACGAUAUUUCGCUCCAGAUGUUUUGUAGUCUGUAACUUGACGUUUUUAGAAAACCAUCAGGGAAACUGAGGCGGUGGUAUAUGGAGUAUCUCCAUGUGCCACACUUUGUCCUAAAAUCUCUCACAUUCCUGCAUCUAGAUCUGAUGCUAGCUCAUUGUUUUUCUUCGUUCUUUUAAGUUCUUCCUUUUGCCUCUCUCUUGUUCUCCCAGAUCUAGAUCUGAUGCUACGCAGCCACCAUCUUCCUGAAACUCUGCUGUACUCGCAACGACUCUGCAAAGAAGUAUCCAAAGAAUCCAAUACUUGGUAUUGAUCUCAUCACUUAGACCACCAGCAUCCCUCCACCUCUAGCUUGCUCACCCUCAUUUAGGAAAAAUUUGGUAUUGAUUUUUCUAGGGUUGUGGAUAUAUUUAAAGGGAAAUUUAUCAUUAAAUAUAUUAGAGAGUCCUCCUUAAUGGGUUUUGGAAGCAAAGUUUGCAAUAUGAAUUUGAGGUUGGUUUGUAAGCUGCUUUAGGUCACAGAGUUAUGUGGUAAUCUCAUUCCCUCCAGUGAAGGAAGUUGUAACCUUUACGAGGAAUUCCAACAUGUGCAAGGAUCCCAUCGUGCGGUUCUAGCAUCUGUUGUCGUGGUUGCAGUAAUUGAUCUGCAAUUGUAUUUCAGGCAGUUGGUAGGAAAGCGUUGAGAUGGGUAUUAGUGAGCCUUGGAUUACUAAAGCAUUGAAGAUGGAAUUUCAUCUCAUUGGAUCAUCCCCAAGAGUAGCUUGAAGAGUAAUAGAGAUUUUCUUGUACUUACAUAUUAUUUACUAGAUAGCAUUGUUCAUUUCAUUA